CAUGUGCUCCAUCAAUAACGAUCAAUCCGCCUGCAGAUAUUUCGAACGCAUGGUUUUAUCCAAAUACUUGGAAUGAUAGUUUCCCAGCUCCAACUUAUGCGGCAGGGCAGAAUUGUUCAUGGAUUGUAAGUUUUCCAAGUUUGAUUAUUGAUUAUCAAUGAUUAACUCAGUAAUUAUAAUAAUUCACCUCACGGAUAAACUCAAAUUCGAAAUUUUCAGGUAAAUAUCCCGAAAGGAAUGUAUGCAUGGGUAACCGUGAAUGCUUCAACAAAUAUACAGUCAUCUCUAACGCUAGUGGACUCAGUGAGUUAUUCGACCAGGUAGGCUUGAGAUUUGGAAGAAUAUAGGAACUAUGUAUAGUCUUAUAGAAUCGAAAAAUCGGAACCAUUUUUCCUGCUGAAUCCAUCAUUCACAGUUAACCUUCAAGCGAUGCAAGUGGGAACAUUUGGAAUAAGAGUUCAGUGGUAUAAUGG
rnacentral:sRNA from 1 species